rnacentral:rRNA from 1 species
AACGAACGCUGGCGGCAUGCCUAACACAUGCAAGUCGAGCGAAGCCUUCGGGCUUAGUGGCGCACGGGUGCGUAACGCGUGGGAAUCUGCCCCUUGCUUCGGAAUAACAGUUAGAAAUGACUGCUAAUACCGGAUGAAGUCUUCGGACCAAAGAUUUAUCGGCAAGGGAUGAGCCCGCGUAGGAUUAGGUAGUUGGUGGGGUAAAGGCCUACCAAGCCGACGAUCCUUAGCUGGUCUGAGAGGAUGAUCAGCCACACUGGGACUGAGACACGGCCCAGACCCCUAGGGAGGGCAGCGGGGGGGAAUAUGGAAAAAGGGACGCAAGUCGAACCAAGAAUUGCCGGGGGGGGGGUAAGGCCUUUAGGGUUGAAAAGCUUUUUUACAGGGAAUGAUAAGGAAAGUCCCGGGGAAAAAGGCCCGGGCAAACCCCGGC